rnacentral:rRNA from 1 species
UGGGGAAUAUUGCACAAUGGGCGGAAGCCUGAUGCAGCAACGCCGCGUGAGGGACGACGGCCUUCGGGUUGUAAACCUCUUUUAGCAGGGAAGAAGCGUGAGUGACGGUACCUGCAGAAAAAGCACCGGCUAACUACGUGCCAGCAGCCGCGGUAAUACGUAGGGUGCAAGCGUUAUCCGGAAUUAUUGGGCGUAAAGAGCUCGUAGGCGGUUUAUCGCGUCUGCUGUGAAAUCCAGAGGCUCAACCUCGGGCCUGCAGUGGGUACGGGCAGACUAGAGUGCGGUAGGGGGGAGUGGAAUUCCUGGUGUAGCGGUGGAAUGCGCAGAUAUCAGGAGGAACACCGAUGGCGAAGGCAGAUCUCUGGGCCGUAACUGACGCUGAGGAGCGAAAGGGUGGGGAGCAAACA